UAAAUAUCAACUUUCUUUUCCCUCACUGUACUCUCCAGUCAGCCAUUUCCUUCAUUUACCGCCUCCAUGUGUCUCCUUCUCACACCCCUCAUACCCACGUAAGGUGAAAAAAAUAAUGAUAAAACAAUUAAAUAACAUCAUGAUGUGACUACAAGCAAACUUCGGCAGCGUCUAUUUGCAGAAUACAGAACAGGUGCCAAAAUCACUUGCUAGAUGUGAGUGCCUUCGUGUGUGCGUGCGCGCGUGCGUAAGUAGUUCCUGCUUGGUUUACAGUUAAGUUGAGGUGAAGCCACACUGCAGUCGAGACCGAACACAGGAGUGGCAAACAUCUAGCAAAAUACCUACUGUUCUUUGGUGCUAAAAUGUUCUCCAGGAAAUGACACAAUGCACGAUGAAUCUCGUUCUACCAAGCUCAUUCAACAGACACUAAGCCAAAGGAAAGCCAGGUCAUAGCCCAACACCCGAGGAUGCUACCGAGGCUGAUAGAAUAGUUGAUUUUGAAGAAUCUCGCCCUUAAUGGAUCUUUACAGCUUCGACAGUGACAGUGAUGAUUUUGGGGCGCCGCCAGUGAUCAACAGUCAUGCGGAAAUGGAGCAGCAUGUCAACUACUACGUCCGCAAACCAGGCCACUACAGACUCACCCUCGCUGACUACAUCAAACGGAAACGGAAGGAGAAAAGGAUCCUGCACCGCUUUAACCUCGCUAAGGAUGAGAUCAAGGCCGAGGAUCCUGACUUAUACCAACAACUCCAGGAGCUGAAGGAGGCGCACGAGAGUCAGGAGGCAUUGGCGUGCAGAAUCAAGUACCAUCCGAACGUCCUCAAGGCGCUGUACCCGGAUGCCACGGAUGAUGAAGAUGUAGAAGAGUUGGAGCUUCCACAAGACCCGCCGAAGCGUCGGUUCAACUUCAAGCCGCGCCUGAACAUGGUGUGGCAACAGCGUCUGGAAGCCUCGAGGAAGGAGAAAGAGCGAAGGGCGGAGGAAGCGAGGAAAGCGCAAGAAGAAAGGAGGAAGAAGAAAGGGAAGAAGAGGAGAGAGAAGAAAGAACGGCAGACGACCCCCGCAUUUUACCCAAAACCGAAGCUUCACGAGACACUGAGAGAUAGAGCUUUUGAAGCCAUUCUUACAAGACUGUUCAGAAGACAGUGGGUGGCCACCGUGGUGUCCCCCGUCCUAGGCGACACCCACUCUGCCGACGAUUCUCACCUGCCGACGCCCGCCCGCCUGCAGGAGGACACGCCGACGCCCCCAGCGAAGAGGAGAACCUCCUACCCUGCUUCGUACCCAGAACUCGAAGCCCGCAACGCCCUUCAGAGGUCGACGAAGGGCGUCGUCACCACCGCGGACGACCACCCCUACGACGACGAUCUCUGCGCGUAGGAGCAAGGUCGUGGGAAAUCACGUUCAGACGACGGCCGACCAGGUCAACGAAAAGCAAAAGUUGCUACAAAUGCAGUUCGAUGAAUCAAUGAUGAAUGUGUACGGCGCAGUAGAUCUUGUCAGUCAUCACUAACAUCGAGUAGAUUUAAUCCUUUUACCAUACUACGAACACCUACAUUACACGACGCAGGCCUCCGGCAGCAGCUCCCUCGCCUCCCGCCAGACCCACACCACCGUGACAUCGACCCUGAGUCAUGCACGCCCGCGACGCCCGCCCAUUCGAGGCACUA
rnacentral:misc_RNA from 1 species